rnacentral:lncRNA from 1 species
CAAACACACUGCAUGCAUAGCUUUCACCGGGAUCACUCUAUAUCACUCCCACAGGACUUGUGGGACAGGAGAAACCAACAUGAAUAUGAAGUGCAUGCUGCUUGCUGGACUAGAGAAAAGGACACAUAGAGACACAGAGAAGGAGACUAUGUGAAGAUGGAGGAAGAGACUAAAGUGAUCCAGCUACAAACCAAGGUUUAUAACGCAAACUGUUAUAGGAACACCUUUCCCAAUCUUCUGGAAUGUAGGCAUGACAGAUACAAUGCCUCAAGGAUCAACAUCUCUCUUAGCUCAGGAGCUGGCCUUGAGGGUGAGGUCAUGAAUGACUCACCAAAAAGAAAGAAAGAAAUUGUGUUUGUGAUAAAUUUAUGGAGUCACCAUAACUACUUGAACUACUUUCUUGCCUGGUGAUCACCUCAAAUUUACUGCCACUAACAACAUUCCACUGAAGAACUAAAAUGCAUGGAGGACUCCUGAAAUGUCUGCAUUCCAACUCGAGGGAGGUGGAAGAGCGGUGAGUCAAAGUCAAAGUAGAGCGAGGAGAAAGGAACGGGGGAAAGCAGAGCACAGAACCUGGGAAACAGUUGAUGAGCUAUGAGAGUGUUGGUGGUCCCCUUGUGUCUUACAUUCUUUUCAGCUUAAUUAAUGAUUCACUCUGCCUUUUAAUCUGCCUUCCAUAGAUUAUUAACCCAGUAGCAUCGUUUAUUUAACGCAAAUCACAGGAAGUUGGAUAUUAAAUAGUAUUGGUCAGUAUCUCCCAUAUUUGAGCGCCUAAUAACAUCUUGCUGAGUCACAUUUAGACCUCAUGCUGUGUUUAACAUAGUUCCUUGGUUGGUAUACAAUAUAGAUUCUGAACUUUGUUACUCUAGAAUUUCUUCAGAGGUUUUGAAAUUGUUUUAGAAAAAGAUCAUUUUUUUAAGUUCCAUAGACAAAGUAUAAAAAUUAAGUAUGCUUCAUAGUCCUUGAGCCAGGGUUUCCACAUAGGGCUGUAUGAUCAUUUUGAUAUAGAACAAAUAAAGUUCAUAUUAACUACCUCGAAUACCCAGGUAAAACGGUCCAGCAUUUAUUUAAGAAAACAAAGUAUAAUUGAAAUUGGUUGCUGUUGCUCUACUGUUGAAUUAUGAUAUUUACCCCUUUUUCCAACUUCUUCUUUCCCCACAAUUUCCCUCUUAUUAUCCAGGAGAACAAGAAUUUAGGUCUCUGUGUUUUCUCCGUGUUUCUCUCUUACUCUCUUUGGAAGCUACAAUAAGCUAUGUUGAAUUUAUUUGUUUUACUUUUUUAAUUUUAUUUUUAUGAGACACUACAAUCUCAUAUUCAGAGGUUCUACAUUAGAUUUAGUUUGUCCUUCAAAACUGGAUUAGAAAGAGAUGCCAACACAUAUGGUAACUCCUGGAACAAUUUACGGUUUGAACAACCCACAGGAAACCAUGAAAGCCAGAUUUUCUGUCAGUAUUGUGAAGCCAAAAUCUGUGUUUGGAAGUGAACUUGAGCAUGUACCUAAAAUCUGUGCAAAAACCCAUUUAAUGAUCUUAUAUAGUUUUAGAGGUGAUAUAUCCUGAGUGACAUUCCAAUAAAAGCUACCAAAGUCUUGACUAUAUUUUAAUGAGUGAAAGUAAUUGCGAGUUCUACUUUGUGUAUUUUAAAUGAAUACCAUUUUUACAAUUUUUAAAUUCACUCCAAAUCAAAGUUAAGAUCGAUUUCUUGUCUCUUAUAGCCUUAUCUAUGUGUUCCAUUUAUGUUUCGUUUUUCUUCAAAAGACAAGAACACUUGAAAUUUCCCUCUCCUUGAUACAGUUUCCAGUUUUGCGUGUGCACUCUGUGUAUUCAUGUAAAUAAUUUUACAGCCUUUCUUGUUAUUAAAUAUUAGUUGUGGAAUAAACCAG